AAUCUGGUAGAGAAACAGAUUACACCCGAACCCGGUCUACAAAAAUUAAAAUCAAUUUUUUAUCAAGUUUUUUCGAGUUUCAAGCUCGGUGGGUUUUCGGGUGUAAAUGUGCACCCGUAGCAAUGGUGUAUUUAAUUAGAUAGUGAAAUGAAGGGGCAUAUGAGUGGAACCGCCAAAGCCAACUGACCCAUUUUUAGGCGCGAUUUUCUCUUUCUUCCUCAGCAAACGAAAUGCGUACCAGGAAGAAAUCAUCAUCAGGUACGGACACUUCAACAAAACCUAUACGUGAUUCUGAAAGCAGAAGCUCUUCCGAGUUUCUUAAUGACAAUGGAACUCUGGCUGAAAAAUCACAGGAGGCUGUUGGCAAACUUCUGAGACGUUCCAAUAAACGUGGCUCUAGGGGAACAAAGAAAAAUGACAAUAAUCUGCAGCAAUGUGACUUAAGUAGCAGGCAAGGAAGUGGGUCCGAAAAGGAUGACAAACAAGACAUAGAUUCGAGGGUCAAAUUAACUGUUUCGGAGGCUGAUGGUUGUAGUAGAGAUACAACUGGCAGCACUUUAAGGGAAGAUAAAGUUGAGGAAACUUUACCAUGCAAUCUUUCAGAAAGCAGGGCAGACAUAGAUGAUUUAGAUUGGGAAGAUGGAUCAAUUCCAUCAUUAGAUCCUGCAAGUAAUGAGGUGACAAUUGAAUUCAAUGAGACACCAGAUUCUGUGAGGCGGAAACCUAUUCGCAGAGUUACUGCAGAAGAUAAGGAAAUUGCGGAGAUUGUUCACAAGGUCCAUUUACUUUGCUUACUUGGACGGGGAAGAUUAAUUGACAGAGCUUGUGAUGAUUCUCUUAUUCAGGCCGCUUUACUUUCUCUUCUUCCUAGACACUUGCUGAAUAUAUCAAUGGUUGCAAAAUUAACUGCGAAGGAUUUGCAUCCUCUUAUCCUUUGGUUUCGAGAUAACUUUCAUGUUAGAAGUUUAACUGAUGUGAAAAUGUCAUUUCAUUCGGCUUUGGCACAUGCUCUUGAAACUUGCGAAGGGACUUCAGAAGAGAUUGCUGCGUUGUCUGUGGCACUGUUUAGAGCUUUGAAUCUUACAACCAGGUUUGUGUCCAUUUUGGAUGUCACCUCCUUAAAACCAGAUGGAGAAAAGUCUGAUUAUUUUAGUCAAGAUGCAAGCAGAUCAUGUAGGGGCAUCUUCAGUAAUUCAACUCCAAUGGUUGCGAGACAAAGUGAGGUGUCUGCUUCUCUGGGCAAAUCAUUUUCACCCAGUCAGAGUGUGUAUGAAACUUCUCAGAGGAGUUCAUGCACGACUAAGGACUGCCACUUAACAGACAACACUCAACACACAGAUUUUCCCACUAAUUAUGAUUUGAAGACUAAACAUGUCUCAGGAGAUUGUUCAUUAGCUUUUGAGUCGAAGCAUGAUUCCUCUGAGGCCUGUCUUGCCCAAAAAUCUCAAGGAUCAAAGAGAAAAGGGGAUCUUGAGUUCGAGUUGCAGAUGGAAAUGGCUCUUUCUUCCACAGCAGUUGGAAAUGCAGGCACUAAAAUACCAUCAGUUGUGAACAAUUCAGGCAAUAGUUUGUCUGCUUUCUCUUCACAUUCGAAGAGAAUGAAAAAGAUUGUAUGUGAAGAAUCAUGUUCCAAUGUAAUAUCCACUGCAAUUGGAUCGAAAAGAGUAGGGUCUCCUCUGUAUUGGGCAGAGGUACACUGCAAUGGAGAGAACUUGACUGGAAAGUGGGUGCAUGUCGAUGCUAUUAAUGCUAUUAUUGAUGGAGAGCAGAAGGUUGAAGCUGUAGCUGCGGCAUGCAAAACAUCUUUGAGAUAUGCAGUUGCCUUUGCAGGGAAUGGUGCUAAAGAUGUGACACGAAGGUAUUGUAUGCAGUGGUACAAAAUAGCAUCAAAACGUGUUAACUCAAUUUGGUGGGAUGCAGUCCUUGCACCAUUGAGAGAUAUCGAGUCAAGAGCAACCGGUGGUAUGGUCCUUUCGGAAAAUGACCAUGUAGAUUCCUCAUUCAAUCCUAAUGAUUCAAUGAGAGUUUCAGAAAAUCUGAAAGAUGAAAACUUACCUAACAAUCCUGUCUUGCUUGGGAAGUCUGGCCUUGAAGUCUUAAAAGAUUUUGGUGAGAGGACUGGUGUGAAAUCUUCUUUGAGAAAUUCUUUGAUAGCUACAAGAAGCUCUCUUGAGGAUAUGGAAUUGGAAACAAGAGCUUUGACUGAGCCACUUCCUACAAAUCAACAGGCAUACAAAAAUCACCAUCUAUAUGCCAUUGAAAAAUGGCUUAACAAGUAUCAGGUACUUCAUCCAAAGGGUCCCAUUCUCGGUUAUUGUUCUGGUCAUCCAGUCUAUCCUCGAGCAUGUGUUCAAACUCUCAAAACAAAAGAAAGAUGGCUGCGAGAGGCAUUGCAAGUCAAAGUCAAUGAGCUCCCUGUAAAGGAAUCGAAAUAUUCUAGGAAGCUUCAAAAAGUAAAAUCUUUUGAAGACGAUGAUUGUGCCAGGAAUAACUCUGAAGGAACACUCGAACUGUAUGGGAAAUGGCAACUGGAACCAUUACAGCUGCCACAUGCUGUUAAUGGAUUAGUACCAAAGAAUGAACGCGGUCAAGUGGACGUGUGGUCUGAGAAGUGUCUUCCACCAGGAACUGUGCAUUUAAGGUUGCCAAGAGUAUUUUCCAUUGCCAAGGAGCUGGAAAUUGAUUAUGCACCUGCCAUGGUUGGCUUUGAAUUCAGAAAUGGUCAAUCUUAUCCUGUCUUUGAUGGUAUUGUAGUUUGUGCCGAGUUCAGGGAUGUGAUACUAGAGGCAUACAGGGGAGAACAAGAAAGAAAAGAGGCUGAAGAAAAGAAAAGGAAUGAAAGGGAGGCUAUAUCUCACUGGUAUCAGCUUCUUUCGUCCAUUGUUACCCGGAAAAGGAUUAAGGACCGUUAUGGGAAAAGUUUGUCGUCACAAGCAUCUACAGACAUCAAAACCGCAAGUAAUAUCUCAAAUGUGCAUGUCAGUGCAGAUCAGGCUGUUAACCAGUCUUUUAGAUGCCAGGAAGGAGACAUGGACACAAACAAAUUAGGUACUACAUCCACUGAUUUGCCAGAAGAACACCAACAUGUAUUCUUAACAGAGGACCAAUGUUUUGAUGAGGAGAACUUGGUACUUACUAAACGAUGCCAUUGUGGAUUUUCAAUUGAAGUAGAGGAAUUAUAAUAUCAGCAAUGAGAGUAUAGAUUCGGUGUUGUAGAGUGUAUCAGAAUCGGUUUUGUAUAUGAUAGUAAGGGGAGCACAAAUCUUGCUGAGAUUUGAAACAAAGCAGGCAUGGAAAGCCUCAUGGUUGCGGAAAAAUCUCACAUGUACUACAAAAUAUAAGCAGCUCUAACUGAAGAUUGAUCAGCUACAGUCAUGACCAUUUCUAGGUUUCCAGCUCUUUUGCUGUCACUCUCGUUCGUCUUGUUUAUUGAUCCUUCUUGAGAGACUUUGAGUCCCGACAAAAUCAUCGAUUCAAAACGUAAUUUCUCAUCCUGGCGAUUACCUUCCUCUUUCAAGUUUUCUUCUUUUAAGCUGCUGCCUCCUCGGUCUGCUUGAGUUGAAGAAUCGAUCAACUCAAUAGGAACCAAUCUAUGAUUGAGGUCAAAUAUUCUAAGACUAUUGGUGGAGGUGCAUUGAACAUCUUCAAUCAAAUUAUUUUCUUCUUCUGGACAAUGGACAGUAGUAAAAUCCGAGCUCUGCUGAACAAUCUCACUGCUGCCAUUAGAACCUUGUCGGGCAAUGUCAAAGGAACCACCUUUGCUAUCUUCCAUUGCUUCCUUCUCAUAACAUAUAAACAUUGAUGAGGAGCUUAGACAAUCUUCUUCCAUGGUAUCUCUCGAGUUAAAGCUACAAACAUUAGAAGGAAAAUGAUGUUCAUCUGUAACAAGUUCUGCCUCAUCAUGUUCUUCUCCAUUACUUCUCUUAUGUUUUUUUAGCUUAUCAGAAAGUAUUCUCCCCAGAAACUCACCUCCAUUGUUGUUCUCACCUUCAUCAUCAUCCACAGCUUCCAUAACCAAAUCUCCUUUCUGACCAUACUCCAAAGAUCCCCAAGAAGGCCUAAACAAUAAGUAUGAAUCUAAGUUCUGUCUCCUACUCAAGUUCUCAUUGCAGCAACAGCACUUUAAAACAGUCUCUUCAUCAUCAUCACCAUCAUCAUCAUCAUUUUCAAGCUUGUCAUUACGGCUCGGCUGAGAAGCCAAGCAAUCCCAGCACAUUUUGCUUGAUUCUGCCAGUUUUCGAUGAUUUGAACAGAACCCAAGCUGGGAUAUCUCAGCAGCAUGGUUAUCACAGAGGAGAUCUGUAACAUAUGACCUCUUGUGCUCUCCUGGUUCCAAUAUGUGAUCAACUCUUGAACACCAUAAACAUGGCUUUUGAAGGCCAAAGUAGCUAGCAAACUUGGUGAUCAUGUAACUGAACAAAGAGUUAAGGAGGAGGAGCAGUAUCAACACCCAUUCAAGGACUGCAUAAACCAGAAGUAGCACUAGUUUGUGUGUGCCGUUUCUGUGAAGCAUGGUUGCAAACCUGUUGGCAGCCAUGGAUUUUGCUUCUGUUUAUUUGUUCUAUCUAUCUAUCUAUCUAUCUAGAGAGAGCAGAGUCAGUGGAAAAGAGAGUUUUCUCUGUUAAAAGAGAAAAAUAUGCCUCUCCAUAUGUUGUAUUGUUUUUUUGCUGCAUUACCACUACAAUAGUAUUGCUACUAUUUUAUUUAGAAAAGGUAAUAAGAUCUUUUGUUUGGUGACAA